UGAGUUUGAUCAUGGCUCAGAGCGAACGCUGGCGGCAGGCUUAACACAUGCAAGUCGAACGGGCGCAGCAAUGCGUCAGUGGCAGACGGGUGAGUAACACGUGGGAACGUGCCUUUCGGUUCGGAACAACUGAGGGAAACUUCAGCUAAUACCGGAUACGCCCGCAAGGGGAAAGAUUUAUCGCCGAAAGAUCGGCCCGCGUCUGAUUAGCUAGUUGGUGGGGUAAUGGCCCACCAAGGCGACGAUCAGUAGCUGGUCUGAGAGGAUGAUCAGCCACACUGGGACUGAGACACGGCCCAGACUCCUACGGGAGGCAGCAGUGGGGAAUAUUGGACAAUGGGGGAAACCCUGAUCCAGCCAUGCCGCGUGAGUGAUGAAGGCCCUAGGGUUGU
rnacentral:rRNA from 2 species